rnacentral:rRNA from 1 species
AACCAGCUCUUCAAGUGGUCGGGAUAAUUAUUGGGCUUAAAGUGUCCGUAGCUGGUAGGGUAAGUUCCUGGUAAAAUUGGGCAGCUUAACUGUCCUUAUGCUAGGAAUACUACUCUCCUAGAGGGCGGGAGAAGUCUGAGGUAAUACAGGGGUAGGGGUGAAAUCUUAUAAUCCUUGUAGGACCACCAGUGGCGAAAGCGUCAGACCGGAACGCGCCUGACAGUGAGGGACGAAAGCCAGGGGAGCGAACCGGAUUAGAUACCCGGGUAGUCCUGGCCGUAAACGAUGCGCACUAGGUGAUGGUGCGGCUAUGAGCCGCAUCAGUGUCGUAGGGAAACCGUUAAGUGUGCCGCCUGGGAAGUACGGUCGCAAGGCUUAAACUUAAAGGAAUUGGCGGGGGAGCACCACAAGGGGUGAAGCCUGCGGUUC